UACAGGGGGGGCAAGCGUUGUUCGGAAUUACUGGGCGUAAAGGGCUCGUAGGCGGCCAACUAAGUCCGACGUGAAAUCCCCAGGCUUAACCUGGGAACUGCGUCGGAUACUGGUUGGCUUGAAUCCGGGAGAGGGAUGUGGAAUUCCAGGUGUAGCGGUGAAAUGCGUAGAUAUCUGGAGGAACACCGGUGGCGAAGGCGGCAUCCUGGACCGAGAUUGACGCUGAUGCGCGAAAGCCAGGGGAGCAAACGGG
rnacentral:rRNA from 1 species